GUGGAGAAACUAAAUUUUAGUUUGUAUGGGAUCUAACUUAGGGAGAAAGAAGGUAGAGCAAGAGUUCAUUUACUUUUUCUUUUACCUAGAGGGUCCUGGGGAGUUAGAUUUUAUAGAUGAAGGGGGUUACCUAUCAUCUGAGGAAGUGUGCACCAUUUUUUUUCCUUCAGAGCUAUGAAGACAUGACAUGCUCUGCUUGUUAGAGGAUAAUAGUUUGUAUGUUUGGAGGUUGUUAAGAUUACAGAUCUCACUGAAUGGAGGAAGCGGAGUAACGGGAUG
rnacentral:lncRNA from 1 species